CAGCCGCCGCGGUAAUACGGAGGGUGCGAGCGUUAAUCGGAAUUACUGGGCGUAAAGAGUGCGUAGGUGGUUAAUUAAGUUAUCUGUGAAAUUCCUGGGCUUAACCUGGGCAGGUCAGAUAAUACUGGUUAACUCGAGUAUGGGAGAGGGUAGUGGAAUUUCCGGUGUAGCGGUGAAAUGCGUAGAGAUCGGAAGGAACACCAGUGGCGAAGGCGGCUACCUGGCCUAAUACUGACACUGAGGCACGAAAGCGUGGGGAGCAAACAGGAUUAGAUACCCCUGUAGUCCCUGUCUCUUAUAC
rnacentral:rRNA from 1 species